rnacentral:rRNA from 1 species
UAAUACGUAGGGAGCGAGCGUUGUCCGGAUUUAUUGGGCGUAAAGGGCGCGUAGGCGGUUAAGUAAGUCGGGUGUUAAAUCUCCAAGCUCAACUUGGAGCUGCCACUCGAAACUGCUUUGACUUGAGUCUGGUAGGGGAACACGGAAUACCUGGUGUAGCGGUGAAAUGCUUAGAUAUCAGGUGGAACACCAGUGGCGAAGGCGGUGUUCUGGGCCAGUACUGACGCUGAUGCGCGAAAGCGUGGGGAGCGAACAGGAUUAGAUACCCUGGUAGUCCACGCCGUAAACGUUGCACACUAGGUGUGGGGCCCUAUCGACGGGUUCCGUGCCGUAGCUAACGCAUUAAGUGUGCCGCCUGGGGAGUACGGUCGCAAGACUA